GAUGGGGCGGCCGCCCCCUCAGGCUGCGCCUGCGCAGAGAUGCGGGGUCCUGGAAACCCAGUGAUGGUCCCAUGUGCUUAGGGCUGUUGUGGAGGCCUCGGAGGUUCUGUGUCCAAAGUCAAGGGCUGUCCCACCUUCUGCGCGCAGCUGUUCCUGAGUCAGACCGCCACGUGCAGGCACUGGGCUGGAUGUGGUAUGGGUGCCACGCCAGCAGACACUCCAGUCGUUUGCUGCGAGAGCGCAGGAAGCGGGCGUGCAGGAGGCUGGACGCCGCGGCGCCCGAGCGGGACUACCCCCAGGUGAGGGUGCGCAUUGCAGCGUCCGAGGGCAGCAAGGAGCCCGAGUCCCCAGAUGCCCAGCGCAGAGGCCGCCUGCCCUCACCACGGCCCAACAGCGACCAGGGCCAGCUAGGCAUAGGGGGUCCUCCGGAUGGCGGAAGGAGCCGGGCCCAGCCUUGCCCGAGGUGCAUCGCAGGAGAGUCUGGACAGAAGGCGAGCAGGUGCUUUCUCCCCCAGGCAGGGGAGGCGAAACCGAGCCCGGGACGGCGGGCCCGCAGAUCAGAAGGGAGUCUCCUGAGGCUGUGAGCCCCCAGCCGCUCCUGGCCCCUUCUCACCUCUGCAUUUACUGUGCCUUCAGCCACUCAGGUUAGAUCGCGCUUAUUUAUCAGGACUUAAUAGGACUCGUUUGUCUGCAAGUGGUUGGAAUGAAAUGGGAGCUGGCUGAGCAGCCAGGCGCUUAUUGCAAGGACCUGGAACCAUCUCUAAGAGCCACUUGGCCCUGGAAGAGCAAGAAUGAGUCAGGCCUGGAAGCAACACCCACGGCCACCAGUGCCUCUGGUCCCUCCGGACGCCUCUCUGCGCCUGCACUUGGCUUCCUUCACCCUUGCUUCCCAUCAGCCUUCCCCACAUGAUGGCCAGCGGUCCCCGAGUGGGUCUACAGCGCUCAUAGACCAAAACCUCAGGGCAGAGACUCAUCAGCCAGGUCCCCCAGCACCCCCACCCCAUCGUCAGAGGGCAGUUGAGGACAAGGAAUUGCCCGUGGAAAGGUGAGGGACUGGCAGGUAAAUCUGGAAGGUCUGCUUCCCUCCACUGUCACUCAGGGCUCGCUUGGCUCUGGGAUAGCACUUGGAAGCCAUCAGGCUAAUGUUUGGGCUUCGCUGGUGGCUCAGACGGUAAAGGAUCUGCCUGAAGUGCAGGAGACCCGGGUUCAAUCCCUGGGUUGGGAAGAUCCCCUGGAGGAGGGCAUGGCAAUCCACUCCAGUAUUCUUGCCUGGAGAAUCCCCAUGGACAGAGGAGCCUGGUGGGUUACAGUCCAUGUGGUCAGAGUUGGACACAACUGAGUGACUAAGCAUAGCACAGGCUAAUGUCAGUCACUUGGAAAUCCUUUCUGUGGAGGCCUGGGCAAGUGCCUGGCGUGGAGCCAAAGUCAGAUGCUGGAGCUGUCUGGCCCACAUGGAGCCGUGAGAGUUGCCAACGUGCUGGGUCCAACAGGUCCUCCCAGGCCCCGCAGGCGUCCAAGACAGGGGCUGCAGUGAGAGCUGUUCUGUAGACCCAGAAAGUCUGUGCCCUCGGAGGGCCAUCCCCGCCUGACUGGCCAGCUUGCCCUGGACCAGUACCACAGCCCUCCCUGCUCCCUGGACUGGGGGUUCCUGGACCACCAGAGAUGAUGCCCUUUCAUGAAGUCAACCUCACGUCCCCACGCACUCUUCAAAGGCAGCAGAACCCAGCUGUUGACCUCCUGGAAGAGAAGGGGAGAUGGGGAGAGCGGGGGAGGAGAGGUGAUGCUGAGAUCUCAGGAGGAGCACGGAUGGGGAGGGGGCGGGGCCCGUGCAGGCCGAGGGGUGAGCAGAAAGGGGAGGGAACUGCCCCAGAGGAGGGCCGCCUGGGGCCUCUGUGCACAGAGCCCGAAAUGGCAGAGCUUCAGCGGGGAUUUUGAUGACCUGGCUUUCCUGGUAGCUCAGCUGGGAAAGAAUCCGCCUGCAACGCAGGAGACCCUGGUUUGAUUCCUGGGUUGGGAUGAUCCCCUGGAGAAGGGACAGGCUACCCACUCCAGUAUUCUGGCCUGGAGAAUUCCAUGGACUAUACAUACAGUCGCAAAGAGCCGGACAUGACGGGGUGACUUUCACUUUCACUCACUAGGCCAACAGUAAAUGAGGGUUUGUUGGCUCGAGCUGGAGAGUCAGACAUGCUGGCUUCAGGCCCGGAAUGACCCACAUCAGGGUUUGGCAAACUCUGGCCCUUGGGACAAGUCUGUUCUUGUAAAUGCGUUGUCACCGGAGCAUGACUGAAGACACGCAGGUGUCCUCCGUGUCUGCUUUCUGCUUCCACACGACAGAGGCCGGGCUGAGGAGUUGUGCCAAAGACCGUCGACUGGCAGAAUCUGAAACACGUGUCACACGGCCCUUUCCCUGACAGCUUUGUUCACCCCAGCUCCAGAGCUGUGCCCUCCAACAGCGUGACGCUGGAAAGGAGUCUUAUCUGAACGAAGAUGGGCUACGGCUCCUGAGGGCCCGACUGACCACCCAGGCUGCUCCUGCCCAGCACCCCACCUCGUUCAGAUGAAGCAUCGGCGGGUUUUCCUGACUGGCAAAGUUGUCCUAGAAAGGCACCCUGCCCCUCGCAGACUGACUGGGGGAAGCCAAAACAAAGUGUGAACUCCAAGAGUCUCCUACGUAUUAUGAUGUUCUAUGCUCCGUGGAACACUGCAGUGCGCUUGUUAUGGUUUAUUUCAUAAGUAGAUGCACCUUAAGAACAAUUUAUUCCUAUAUUAAUACCUCUUAAGGGAGACAUCAUCAGCCUGACUAGAAAGCAUGAUUAUGGUAAAGUCCUGGGGAAGACCUGGCAAAGCGAGGCAGCAAAA